rnacentral:tRNA from 1 species
GGGGAUGUAGCUCAGUGGUAGAGUAGGUACAUAGCAAACAAGAAUGCUUGGGUUCAAUCCCAGCACCCCCC